rnacentral:rRNA from 1 species
GAGUUUGAUCAUGGCUCAGAACGUACGCUGGCGGCACGCCUAACACAUGCAAGUCGAACGAGUAGCAAUACUAGUGGCAGACGGGUGAGUAACAUGUAGGUAUCUGCCCUUUGGCCUGGAAUAACACGAGGAAACUUGUGCUAAUACCGGAUAAGUCUUUACGGAGAAAGCUUUAUGCACCAUUGGAUGAGCCUGCACUUGAUUAGUUUGUUGGUGGGGUAAUGGCCUACCAAGACUGUGAUCAAUAGCUGAUUUGAGAGGAUGAUCAGCCACAUUGGGACUGAGACACGGCCCAAACUCCUACGGGAGGCAGCAGUGGGGAAUCUUGCACAAUGGAGGAAACUCUGAUGCAGCGAUGCCGCGUGAGUGAAGAAGGCCUUUGGGUUGUAAAGCUCUUUCGUCGGGGAAGAAAAUGACUGUACCCGAAUAAGAAGGUCCGGCUAACUUCGUGCCAGCAGCCGCGGUAAUACGAAGGGACCUAGCGUAGUUCGGAAUUACUGGGCUUAAAGAGUUCGUAGGUGGUUGAAAAAGUUGGUGGUGAAAUCCCAGAGCUUAACUCUGGAACUGCCGUCAAAACUUUUCAGCUAGAGUAUGAUAGAGGAAAGCAGAAUUUCUAGUGUAGAGGUGAAAUUCGUAGAUAUUAGAAAGAAUACCAGUUGCGAAGGCAGCUUUCUGGAUCAUAACUGACGCUGAGGAACGAAAGCAUGGGUAGCGAAGAGGAUUAGAUACCCUCGUAGUCCAUGCCGUAAACGAUGUGUGUUAGACGUUGGAAAUUUAUUUUCAGUGUCGCAGCGAAAGCGAUAAACACACCGCCUGGGGAGUACGACCGCAAGGUUAAAACUCAAAUGAUUGACGG